GACAGAGGGUGCAAACGUUGUUCGGAUUUACUGGGCGUAAAGCGCGUGUAGGCGGCUUGGCAAGCUGGAUGUGAAAGCCCACGGCUCAACCGUGGAAGCGCAUCCAAAACUGCUUCGCUCGAGUCUCGGAGAGGAAGGUGGAAUGCUUGGUGUAGAGGUGAAAUUCGUAGAUAUCAAGCAGAACACCUGCGGCGAAGGCGGCCUUCUGGACGAUGACUGACGCUGAGACGCGAAAGCGUGGGGAGCAAACAGG
rnacentral:rRNA from 1 species